GGCGGUAACUCUGGUGAAUACAGUCAGACCCAGAGGAUUGUGCAGCAGCAGUGCGCUGCGCAGAGCCGACCAUCUGGGAGCUGCCGUCGUCACCAUCGGCGUCACAUUUGGCUCUUUUCACAGAGCGCACUCAAGGCAUUUCAGAGGCAGCAACUGAAAGAGUUCAUGGGGAAUGUGAUUCACCUAUUGGCCUGUUCGUCCAGCUCUCAUCCCACCCCCUUCACUCCCAACGUCACAGCAUGAAAUACGGACGGAUCCGACUCUGAAUCCUCCACUCGGCUGAGCGCGCCUUGUGCCACAUGAAGCGCUUUUCGGCGACGCGCGUGAAACCGGACUGAUACUGAACACAGCGGGAGAGACGGAGUUUGGCUAUUUCUUUUUCCCUUUUCCUGUUCUCGUGAGCAUCUUUCUCUUUGAUCCGCGUAUGUCUUUUUUUUUCCCAGAGUCAAAGUGGAGAUUUUUUGACUUUUCUUUUCCUCAGAACACAGCCCAUCGUCAGCCUGAUAUGAAAUAAACCGAGGCAGUUGAAGUGGAAAAAAAAGAGCAGAUUUCAAACUGAAGACAAGCAAGCUCACCGUAGCUUUGAAAAACACACACAGCAAUAUCAACUGUAAAGAAAGAAAAUGACGCAACAAUGAAAUAAAGUGAAAUAAAAUUUGGAUGAA